GGGCCCGUAGUCUAGCGGUAUGAUGCCCGCCUCACGCGGCUUCUCGCCUGAGAGCGCGGGUGGUCCCGGGUUCAAAUCCCGGCGGGCCCA
rnacentral:tRNA from 1 species